UUUUUUUGUACCGCGACUUGGAGUCUUGGAGCACAGAGGUGCAGAGCAGUCCGACUCAGUGACCCGGCGAUCUGCAAAAGUGCAAGGCUGGAAGCCUAGAACCAGCACCCAUCUCGAGUAGUCCGGUCUCCGAGCUCCCCACCGCCACCAGCCCACCAGCAACCCAUCUGGGCCGUCUGCCUGUCUCCGUGAAAUGAUAUAAUUGCUUGGCCUAUGGAGUAUGGAGUAUGGAUACUGAUUAACUGAUGGUGACAUGGUGUAUUGAUGUUGAUGAGUUGAUGUUGAUUACUUGAUUUUAAUAAAGGUAAUGUUUGUAACUUUGUAUGAUUCAUGAUUCAUGAGGAGAAGGCCUCAGACCUCAGAAGCAGAGGGCUACAAUUCGUUUGAGAAAGCUUG
rnacentral:lncRNA from 1 species